rnacentral:tRNA from 1 species
GACACUAUGGCCGAGUGGUUAAGGCGGAAGACUCGAAAUCUUCUGGGCUCUGCCCGCGCAGGUUCAAAUCCUGCUGGUGUCG